rnacentral:rRNA from 1 species
CAGUGGAUAACCGGUCUAGUCUAUUGGAACAUUGCGUCAUAGAGGGUGAGAAUCCCGUAUGUGACCGUGGCUCGAGCCCAUGUGAAGCCUCUUCGACGAGUCGAGUUGUUUGGGAAUGCAGCUCAAAAUGGGUGGUAAAUUUCAUCUAAAGCUAAAUACUGGCUGGAGACCGAUAGCGCACAAGUAGAGUGAUCGAAAGAUGAAAAGCACUUUGGAAAGAGAGUUAAACAGUACGUGAAAUUGUUGAAAGGGAAGCGCUGGCAACCAGACCUGUCCGUAGGCGAUCAACCGCUGUUCUCAGCGGUGCACUCGUUCUGCGAUCAGGCCAGCAUCGGUUUCGGCGGUCGGAUAAAGGCCCGGGGAACGUAGCUCCCUCUCGGGGGAGUGUUAUAGCCCCGGGCGCAAUGCGGCCAGCCGGGACCGAGGACCGCGCUUCGGCUAGGAUGCUGGCGUAAUGGUUGUCAGCGACCCGUCUUGAAACACGGACCAAGGAGUCUAACAUCUAUGCGAGUGUUUGGGUGUCAAACCCAUGCGCGGAAUGAAAGUGAACGGAGGUGAGAACCCUUUAGGGCGCAUCAUCGACCGAUCCAGAUGUCUUCGGAUGGAUUUGAGUAUGAGCAUAGCUGUUGGGACCCGAAAGAUGGUGAACUAUGCCUGAAUAGGGUGAAGCCAGAGGAAACUCUGGUGGAGGCUCGCAGCGGUUCUGACGUGCAAAUCGAUCGUCAAAUUUGGGUAUAGGGGCGAAAGACUAAUCGAACCA